UGGGGAAUAUUGCACAAUGGGCGCAAGCCUGAUGCAGCCAUGCCCGUGUAUGAAGAAGGCCUUCGGGUUGUAAAGUACUUUCAGCGGGGAGGAAGGUGUUGAGGCUAAUAACCUCAGCAAUUGACGUUACCCGCAGAAGAAGCACCGGCUAACUCCGUGCCAGCAGCCGCGGUAAUACGGAGGGUGCAAGCGUUAAUCGGAAUUACUGGGCGUAAAGCGCACGCAGGCGGUGUGUCAAGUCGGAUGUGAAAUCCCCGGGCUCAACCUGGGAACUGCAUUCGAAACUGGCAGGCUAGAGUCUUGUAGAGGGGGGUAGAAUUCCAGGUGUAGCGGUGAAAUGCGUAGAGAUCUGGAGGAAUACCGGUGGCGAAGGCGGCCCCCUGGACAAAGACUGACGCUCAGGUGCGAAAGCGUGGGGAGCAAACA
rnacentral:rRNA from 1 species